ensembl:lncRNA
GGGGAGAGAAUGAGAGAAGAAGAGGCAGCUGACAGCGUAAAGACACAGAAUAACUCCAGCUUUGUGUCUUUUCCAUUCUAGCUGAAGUCCGGGACAAACUGUGUUCCUUUUCAGCUCAACACGUAUAUUUUCUCUUAAUACGGGAUGAUUCCGUUUUUUACAGGACGGUUGGCAACUCUACUAACUAACCUUAUGAAUAAAAUAAAGUUCACUAUCAGUAACAUCAUAGCACCCACCCAGCUGUAUAGAAGGGUUAGGGGUUUGUUGGUUUAUAUCAGGUCAUAACUUCUUACCUGAAGUUCAGUUCACCUGACCACCUCGGACCGGCGGCCGCCUCGGGUCUCUGCUCCUCCUGCCUCCCCUUUCCCUCAUCCACCUGCUGGCCUCAGUGGAAGCUCCGCCAUAGCCACCACCAAACAACUGAGAUACUUUUACAUUUUACACAUCGGCCAGCAUCUGGCCAAUCUACCAACUUUCAUUGAAAAAACAAAAAAAACAUUGGUAUGGGCUCAAAUUGUGGUCAUAAAUAUUUUGUACUUGUAAAUCAGGAUUUGAUUGUGGAAAUGACAGUCUUCACUAGUGGGGAUAGUUACAAAGCUUUUUUCCUUAUGAAUUAGCAUACAUGUUUUUACUGAACAUUUGAAGAACCAGCAAAAAAAACAGAAACUCUUGUAGAGGACAUAAAGUCAGAGACAGAAAUGACAAGGAGCAGGUGCAUCUAGUACAGGUAGAGCUGCUGCAAAAAACCACAGAGCUCAGCAAAUUCUGGAUCCUUGGCUUUUAGUUAGCAUUAGCAGCACAUGCUGCGUCUGAUGUGAAAGGACCUUUAUGCUGCACACUGUGACUCACAGCAAUGGUCCCGGGUCAGCCCUGACUUUGUGUUAAUGGUAUUUCUAACCACUGAUAUACCACAACUUUAUCCUUUCAACAGCUGCUGAAAGUUAGCGGACCUAGCUUCUAUCGCAUAUUUAUAUAGAGAUCCUCCAGCUUCAAACUGUAUUACCCUUCAAGGACCUGCAGUUCAAAAAAGCGCCCCUCCGACAGCCAAACCCAUCUAUUCUCUGAUUGGAUAGUUAAAUUUGUGAUUGACAUGACAUUGGCCAAUCAGAUGAAAGGAAGAAAAAUGGGGUCAAAAUUCGUACUUGUAACUUGAAACUUGAGUGCAGAGUUUCACAGGUAUUUUUUGGCUAAGUCCACACACAAAUCUGUUUUACACACACACAAAUUCUUUUUACACAUAAAAAUCCUGAUUUACAAGUACAAAAUAUUUAUGACCACAAUUUGAGCCCAUACAUUGGCCCAUAAAAACGAAAAAUCACCAUUCGCCAGUCCAGCUAUGGUCGUGCCAUCAGUUAUGGUCGGCACGCGUGCCCAGGGUUGCCGACCCCUGAAUUACAGUAUCACCCCAACUCAGCAACAAGACCACUCUCAGCACUGACCAAGUUUGUUUGCUCUCUCCACAUAUUUCACAUGCAAGGGUCAGUACUACAGGCAGAAACAUGGGUGUGCCAUGGGUCCCCAGUUUCACCCAUUGUGGCCAACCUGUACAUGAAAGAAUUGGGAAACAGGGCUCUGCCCACCCUUGCCCCCUUGUAGAUCCGCCUCUGACUCAAAGCUACUAGUUCUCAUUGUGGUAUUACUUACUGUAAAUUUCAGCUUUGGUCACAUAUGUAGAAAGAUUUCACUGUACUGAUUAAUUGAUCUAGAACGCAGACAUUGACAUGUUUAUCUAUAACACUUAACUCAACAAACAGUGAAAGACAAACAGUGACGUCAUUUGUUACGUGUUUUUAUAGUAAU